UUAAAAAGCUCGUAGUUGGAUUUCUGUAGUGGGAUGCCGGCCGGGUUCUCUGAACUUGUAGCUAGGUUAUCUUGCUGCAUCUUGUCGUAAUUCUCACCGGCAUUCAUUUGUUGGUGUAGAGGACCGACUCGUUUACUUUGAGAAAAUUAGAGUGUUUAAAGCAGGCUAUAGCUUUGAAUAUGUUAGCAUGGAAUAAUAAUAUAGGACUUUACGUUCUAUUUUGUUGGUUGUUCGAGGACGUAAGUAAUGAUUGAUAGGGACAGUUGGGGGCAUCAGUAUUCUGAAGCGAGAGGUGAAAUUCUUGGACCUUCGGAAGACUAACAACUGCGAAAGCAUUUGCCUAGGAUGUUCUCUUUAAUCAAGAACGAAGGUUGGGGGAUCGAAGACGAUCAGAUACCGUCGUAGUCUC
rnacentral:rRNA from 1 species